GCGCCCGUAGCUCAUCUGGAUAGAGCGACUGCCUCCGGAGCAGUAGGUAGUGGGUUCAAAUCCCGCCGGGCGCACCA
rnacentral:tRNA from 1 species